rnacentral:rRNA from 1 species
AGUGAAUGCUGGCGGUAGGCCUAACACAUGCAAGUCGAACGGCAGCACCGUAAGAGCUUGCUCUUACGGGUGGCGAGUGGCGGACGGGUGAGGAAUACAUCGGAAUCUACUUUUUCGUGGGGGAUAACGUAGGGAAACUUACGCUCAUACCGCAUACGACCUACGGGUGAAAGCAGGGGAUCUUCGGACCUUGCGCGAUUGAAUGAGCCGAUGUGGGAUUAGCUAGUUGGCGGGGUAAAGGCCCACCAAGGCGGCGAUCCGUAGCUGGUCUGAGAGGAUGAUCGGCCACACUGGAACUGAGACACGGUCCAGACUCCUACGGGAGGCAGCAGUGGGGAAUAUUGGACAAUGGGCGCAAGCCUGAUCCAGCCAUACCGCGUGGGUGAAGAAGGCCUUCGGGUUGUAAAGCCCUUUUGUUGGGAAAGAAAAGCAGCAGGUUAAUACCCCGCUGUUCUGACGGUACCCAAAGAAUAAGCACCGGCUAACUUCGUG